rnacentral:rRNA from 1 species
UACAGAGGGUGCAAGCGUUAAUCGGAAUUACUGGGCGUAAAGGGCGCGUAGGCGGCCACCGCAAGUCGACUGUGAAAUCUCCGGGCUUAACCCGGAAAGGUCAGCCGAUACUGCGGGGCUAGAGUGCAGAAGGGGCAACUGGAAUUCUCGGUGUAGCGGUGAAAUGCGUAGAUAUCGAGAGGAACACCUGCGGCGAAGGCGGGUUGCUGGGCUGACACUGACGCUGAGGCGCGAAAGCUAGGGGAGCGAACGGG